AACGAACGCUGGCGGCAGGCUUAACACAUGCAAGUCGAGCGCCCCGCAAGGGGAGCGGCAGACGGGUGAGUAACGCGUGGGAAUCUACCGUGCCCUACGGAAUAGCUCCGGGAAACUGGAAUUAAUACCGUAUACGCCCUACGGGGGAAAGAUUUAUCAGGGUAUGAUGAGCCCGCGUUGGAUUAGCUAGUUGGUGGGGUAAAGGCCUACCAAGGCGACGAUCCAUAGCUGGUCUGAGAGGAUGAUCAGCCACAUUGGGACUGAGACACGGCCCAAACUCUUACGGGAGGCAGCAGUGGGGAAUAUUGGACAAUGGGCGCAAGCCUGAUCCAGCCAUGCCGCGUGAGUGAUGAAGGUCUUAGGAUUGUAAAGCUCUCUCACCGGUGAAGAUAAUGACGGUAACCGGAGAAGAAGCCCCGGCUAACUUCGUGCCAGCCGCCGCCGUAA
rnacentral:rRNA from 1 species